rnacentral:rRNA from 1 species
UACGUAGGGCGCAAGCGUUGUCCGGAAUUAUUGGGCGUAAAGAGCUCGUAGGCGGUCUGUUACGUCGGCUGUGAAAACCUGGGGCUCAACUCCGGGCCUGCAGCCGAUACGGGCAGACUAGAGUGUGGUAGGGGAGACUGGAAUUCCUGGUGUAGCGGUGAAAUGCGCAGAUAUCAGGAGGAACACCGAUGGCGAAGGCAGGUCUCUGGGCCACUACUGACGCUGAGAAGCGAAAGCAUGGGGAGCGAACAGG